UAGUCUUGAUGGUGAGAGAAUUUUU
rnacentral:piRNA from 1 species